UUGGGUCGACAAGAAGUUGUAAAGUGCCAGCUCCAGCAAUACACUAAAAAUACUGUAUAUUUAGUAGAACCUACAAAGUGCAAGCUAGCUAGGAUUGGCCAGGUUCAAUGAACCUGUAAAAAGAAUAUGUCUUGAAAUAAUAGCCCUCCAAUAUUCCAUUUAAUUUGCACGUUGAGAAUUUUAUAAAAAGACGCUCUGAUUGAUGAGAUGAACAAAUUCAAACACAAAGGUCUUACCUUGUCUUUGUUUAUAUAUAUAAUUACUCCAAUGGAUGAAACGAUUUAAUUGUUUAUUUUUGAGUCAUGUAGGUUUAUUUAGUGAUUAGUAAUUUGCGGAUAUGAAUGGUUUGGAUUUCGAAGGAUUCGCGAGCAUUGUUUGUGCCAUCCUUUAUCAUCAAACUCUCACCUUUGCCAAUAACAACUAUGAUCUAGCUCAGGUAUUUUCUCCCAUCAUUUUAAUUUGCUUGAUUUUGUUUUUUCUUCUCUAGACCUAGCUUUUCCUGAUCUCUAAUUUUCAAUUCUGCAUAAAUUGGAAAUUUAAAGCAACAAUCUGCAAAAUAAUAUUUUACUCCCUCCUUCUCAAUUUAUGUGCCUUAUGUUUCAAAAAAAAUGUCAUAGUGCAUUUUCAUUUUACUCGUACACUCUACUAUAAGAAGAUUAAUAUGACAUGUUUAAAGCUAUAAGAUUUAAAGAAUAUUCUUGAUAUGUUAUACAUAAAUUUCGUUUAAGCCCACAGUACGAUUCAAAAAUAUUGUUUAUAUUCUAAACUUCAUGCCUAAUUUAAUUGAGACACAUAAAUGAAUUUGAGGGAAUACUUGAAAAUAAUGGUAUUUACUUUGUCCGAUUGAGCUUCAUAAACAUAUUGUUUCACUGGAAUCCUAUGAAAUUGUAUUCACCCCUUAACAACCCCCCCACCCCCCCCCCCCACCCCACCCCACCCGCGAUAUUCUCCCAAUAAAAAUAAAAGGAAUCAAUUAAAAAGAUUAACUUCUGCCAAAUCCUUACCUGAACAAUUUGAUUAGUCAUGUACUUGCAUAUUAAUUCAACUUUAUGACUAUUAUAUAAUUCAACUUUGAAUUUUCUAGCAGUAAAGAGUUUAACUUAAUAUAUUGAUAAUGUAAACUUUUAACUUGUUAUUUAUCAUGUUUAAUAAGUCACAAAUUCGUGUUUGUUACGGAAAGUUAUUUAUGUAUUUACAAGUCAUCUGUAAAAUUUCUGUAGAUAAUCAUGUAUAUUAAUUAGUUAAAAUCAAUAAGGAUCUAUUGUAUUAUCGGCUUGCGGUUUGCUUUAGUUUUGAUUCAACUUUUUCCUUUGUUUAAUAUUAACUCAUACUCACAUAUUAUUGUUUUUAUUUAAUAGUACAAUAUUUAUAUCAAUUACACUAAAUUGAAAAUUAUUGGUUUGAGUCAAUCGUACAGUUCGCUGAGAAUUUUAAUGAGUGCCCUUAUCGCAAUUUCAUGAGUGGAAAGAAUAAUAUCAAUAUUUAUCAAGAGAAAUAGUACCAAAUUAAAUCUAGUAUAAACAUGAAAUAUUGUUUUCCUUACGCAGGAAACUGAGCAUCUUUACUCUGUGGCUAUAGACUAUGAAGACUUCAAGCUAUGAAGAGUAUUACGUACAAUACAUUUUCAACAUUGAGUUUAUGCAACAAACUCAUCUGAAUACCAGAAAACUUUUAAAAACAAAAGAAACCUCAAGUUUAUGCUAGCUAGCAGUUUCCUUUGACUUUGAAUAACCAAACACUGGAUUGGCUAAAAUAACUUGAAAGAGUUAUUAGGUAUCGGUCACGUAUCUGAUGAAAUAAUUGAGGUACGCAAAAGUUAGGUAGAUCGUUAAUAAAAGAAAAGAAAAGAAAAUAAAAAUUGAAAGAGUGACAGCGCGUAAAGCGUCGACUUCAUGAGUUCCCCUGUAAACUUCACUGUUAAUUGUUUUGUCUCUGAUAUUUAUCUCUUCUUUCCUCAUCGAAUAAAAGGAUAUUCUUGUUCUUUAUAAGUUGAUGAAAGUCACAGCACCUUGUUACUCCUCGAUUUGCUUUAAUUUUCCCCUUUACUCGUUUAAGCUAGUUUUCGUUUUUCCUUUUAUUUAGUUACUUUCACUUCCAUUAAGUGAGUCUAUGGGCUUAUGACGUAAUUUUCACCUUCUUCAAACGAUGUCAGCAUUAUGGGGGAAAUAUAUAGCAUGUUUGGCGAGCUUCUUCUAACCAAAAGUACUUUUGAGAAAAAAUACUUCUCAAAAUAAGCUGAUUUUUGCAGCUUGGCGCUAAUAUUUUCCUUAUAUAAAACCGUUAUCUCGUUUAAAGAACAUGUUAUAGAAAGAGCAUCUAAUAUAUAUACUCCCUAUGUCCCAACUUAUAUGAUGCAGUUUGAAUUUUUGAGAAAUGUGUUUUUCUUUCACUGUAAUUUUUUCAUAUGCCUUUUAAGUACUUUAGAUUGUUAAUUAUUGUGAGUUAUAUUAUUAUGAUGUAAUUUUUAAACUACAUAUAUAUUAUUUCAAAAAACAUAUAGAUUUUAUAUCUGAGUUUACGAUCAAAAUUAAAAAAAUUGACACCUCAAAAUCCGAAUUGCAUUAAUAAAUCGGGAUGGAGGGAGUAUAUCUUAGCGAUGCAAUGUUCUGAUUUGUUUUGUAUUGUAAUUUAGCUACUCUGGGUUUUUCUUGAACCCAGAACGAAUCCAAACACAAUGCAGUAACAGUAUCAUUGUUGUAGGGGCAUCAAAUCCAAACUGAAAAAGGCUUUUGAUCGUGACCCAAGCCCAAGCUAUGUGGGCCUAGAAUAUAGUUUCUUUUCUUUUCUUUUCCUUUUUGGAAAAAUGACAUUGUAUAGUCACUGUAAAAAUAAUGGCCGAAAAAUAGAUAAAAUUUAUAUAAUUUUUGUAUAUAACAUACAUUUUGUAUGUUAUAUAUAAAAAUUAUACAAAUUUUAUACAUUUUUUCUGUUACCAGAUGUAAAUAGUUUCUGACGGUGGCUAAAAGUAAUAAUACCUCUUUCUUUUUCUUAAAAUUAAAUGUACUCCCAUUUACCUCUGUCUUUUCUGUAUGUUCCUUUUCUAAUCAAUUAAGAAGAUGUUUGUCCCACUUGAAGUCUGAUUCGUAAUAUUUAUUUCUGGUCUGGAAAUACUGGUGGUACCGAAAUAUUUUACUUGUCCGACAAAGAAAUAAAUGUCUGUAUAAAUGAAUAUUGACCAGAUGUCCAGAUCCAAAAAAAGAGUCUUUUAGCAUCAUAAGUUUAUACACACUCCCAC
rnacentral:lncRNA from 1 species